AUGAAGAGACAGAGCCCAAGAGGUGACCUGUCCUCACACACAAUCGUGGUGCCUAUGGGACAUAGCGAGGCUCUAUUUUCUGGACUUGCUGUGGUUGCUGAAAACCUGAAGAAGCCAGGAAAGUGCUUCCUGUGCCUGAAGUGCCUGAAGUGAUGAUGCGGUGUGCUGCUGAUCGAAGAGGUGUCACAUGUGCCCGGGACACGGUGGCCAGAGAGGACACUCAGUGCACGAGCAAGGCUGGAAGACAGAGCCAAGACACAAACUGCGAAGCAACAGCUCAACCGCCCAGAGCGAGUGGGCUUUGCACUAUUUCUGGCCAGAGCAGAUGUGGCCUCGGUGGGCCGUGGGGAACAGUAUCCCUCAGGUAAAAAUAAACUCGUACCAUUAGGACCCAAAGGAUGCCGAUUCCUCAUUCCCAAGCAGAUCGUGAACUGGGAGCUGUGUGGAAAGACGACUGGUUUGGGAAUCCGACAGGGUUCUGCCCUGGAUUUCUUCCAGACUGCGCUACCAAUCGGCCAUCUGGUCUCGGUGAGUGCAUGUGACGUACACAUACAUUUUUUAAAAUCAACAACACUAAAAAUAAGGCAAGCGCGGUAACACAACUGAGUGCUGCCACGGAGUGCGUUCUAGGCAACAGUCCUAACGUUUCGUCCAGCUCCCUGCAGAGUAGCGGAGUACUUGGCAGACUCCUCCUGGAUCCCGUUUCCCUGCCUCCCAGCCCAGAGACAAACACUGCCCGGACCUUCCUGCUCUCUGGACACCC